ensembl:lncRNA
AAUCUCUGUGCUGGUGAUUACAGUCUCUGCACAAGCUGACAUUCCCGCCAGCAGGCUUUCUUCCUGCACAGUAUUCAUCAGCACUUGUUUGUGUUCUGGAGAGAAGCAUCUAUCUAGUUUGAUCGUCCAUUUAUUCUUUAGAAGUGGGUAUCCAGUUUCCAAAGUACUAGCUGUUGAAGAUACUAUCUUUGGAUAUCUUUGUCAAACAUUAGGUGACUGUAUCUGUAUGGGGGAAGAGUGUAGGUGGUCAGGAUGGGAUGUGGACUCAUGGUCAACACACUUCCCUAAGAAACACCAGCUGCGAUGCUGGACACAGCGACAAAUGACAACAACAUUUCUCAUCAGGGAGGUAAAUGAUGUGGCUGAUGUUUGUGAUUCCGUGGAUGUGCUGGAGCUAGUGUAAGUCAGUCUUGCACAUUGCUGGCUAGAAGAUGCAGGCUGCACUGAAGUACUCACGCAGUGCUGGAGUCUCUACAAUCUAGCCAUCCCAAGGAGACCCAGAUUCCAUUCUGCUUGAAGUCAGAUUCUCACCACUAAGCUUUAGCUGCACCCAAACUUGAAAGAUAUACUUGUACAAGUUAGCACUGCACAACUCCAGGGAGCUCGCUGUUUCAUGAUGGUCCUGGAAUCAUCUCAGACUCUCAUUCUCUCUUCCCAGAUCAGAUUGCUGGAAUAAUCUGGUAAAUAGACACCCAGUGAAGAUACAGACUCUACAGACCCUAAUGACCCUCUGAAGAUCUGCCAGGCAAUGGCCACCAUGGACAGGGCCAAUGUAUUUUGCCAAGGGUCCAACCUGCUGUCUCUUUUGCCUGUGUCUACGCAUUUGACAAUUUUUCUUGUCAGAGAAAACCAUCUAGUCAUCAUUGCUGUUUCCAGAGAAAUCAAGCAAUUUCUUCAAACUCCCAUUAGCAGAUGUUAAAUAAAGCAAAGGCUAGAAGUGGAGAAUGCACAGAAUCCUCAAAACUGAGAGUUGAAAGGGUCUCUAGAAAUCACCCAAGAAUUUCUUUCUCUUUAUAGAAAAUAAAUCUGAGGCUGCUUUCUUGGUAGUGGAAAGCUAUUAAAUGCAGCUCAAGUGUCUCUGGGGUAUACAUCCACUCCCUCUUGGUGCAAAGAUCCCCCACCUCCCAUUCACACACUAUGAUAAAAAUGUGAUAUUGUGCUUGUAUCCAGAAGUAAUAAAGCGUAAAUGUAUGAGAAAAAUGCAUAUUAUGAGUGCAUGCUUUAAUUUUUCUCUAAUGGAGAUCUGAGAAUAUGACUUUUGUUUCUUUAUUUUAUUUUUUGGUGUGUAUGUG